rnacentral:rRNA from 1 species
UACAGAGGAGCCAAGCGUUGUCCGGAUUGACUGGGCGUAAAGCGCACGCAGGCGGUUGCGCGCGUGGGGUGUGAAAUCUGGCCGCUUAACGGCCAGGCGCCAUCCCAUACGGCGCGUCUGGAGUGAUGCAGAGGUCGAUGGAAUUGCCGGUGUAGUGGUGAAAUGCGUAGAGAUCGGCAGGAACACCCAGGGGGAAACCAGUCGACUGGGCAUCUACUGACGCUGAGGUGCGAGAGCGUGGGGAGCGAACCGG